AGAGUUUGAUCAUGGCUCAGAUUGAACGCUGGCGGAAUGCUUUACACAUGCAAGUCGAACGGCAGCACGGGGGCAACCCUGGUGGCGAGUGGCGAACGGGUGAGUAAUACAUCGGAACGUGCCCAGUCGUGGGGGAUAACGUAGCGAAAGUUACGCUAAUACCGCAUACGAUCUACGGAUGAAAGCGGGGGACCGUAAGGCCUCGCGCGAUUGGAGCGGCCGAUGUCAGAUUAGGUAGUUGGUGAGGUAAAGGCUCACCAAGCCGACGAUCUGUAGCUGGUCUGAGAGGACGACCAGCCACACUGGGACUGAGACACGGCCCAGACUCCUACGGGAGGCAGCAGUGGGGAAUUUUGGACAAUGGGCGCAAGCCUGAUCCAGCCAUUCCGCGUGCAGGACGAAGGCCUUCGGGUUGUAAACUGCUUUUGUACGGAACGAAAAGGCUCUGGUUAAUACCUGGGGCUCAUGACGGUACCGUAAGAAUAAGCACCGGCUAACUACGUGCCAGCAGCCGCGGUAAU
rnacentral:rRNA from 1 species